rnacentral:rRNA from 1 species
UGGGGCCUACGGGGGGCAGCAGUGAGGAAUAUUGGUCAAUGGACGAGAGUCUGAACCAGCCAAGUAGCGUGAAGGAUGACUGCCCUAUGGGUUGUAAACUUCUUUUAUAUGGGAAUAAAGUGAGCCACGUGUGGCUUUUUGUAUGUAUCAUAUGAAUAAGGAUCGGCUAACUCCGUGCCAGCAGCCGCGGUAAUACGGAGGAUCCGAGCGUUAUCCGGAUUUAUUGGGUUUAAAGGGAGCGUAGGUGGACAGUUAAGUCAGUUGUGAAAGUUUGCGGCUCAA